CGCUGGCGGCGUGCUUAACACAUGCAAGUCGAGCGGAGAAUAUAGCAAUAUAUUCUUAGCGGCGGACGGGUGAGUAACGCGUGGGUAACCUGCCUUUUUACAGGGGGAUAACACUAGGAAACUAGUGCUAAUACCGCAUAAAAUAGUGAAGUGGCAUCACUUUACUAUCAAAGGAGCAAUCCGGUAAAAGAUGGACCCGCGUCCGAUUAGCUAGUUGGAGGGGUAACGGCCCACCAAGGCGACGAUCGGUAGCCGAACUGAGAGGUUGAUCGGCCACAUUGGGACUGAGACACGGCCCAGACUCCUACGGGAGGCGGCAGUGGGGAAUAUUGCGCCAAUGGGGGAAACCCUGACGCAGCAACGCCGCGUGAAGGAUGAAGGUUUUCGGAUUGUAAACUUCUUUGAUUGGGGACGAUAAUGACGGUACCCAAAAAACAAGCCACGGCUAACUACGUGCCAGCCGCCGC
rnacentral:rRNA from 1 species